AUCGAAUUAAAUAUAAAUAGUUGAUAAUUGUGCAAUUACUAUAGCAUUCUUUACUAUGUUAACCUGUAAGAUCUUGACGUUUUCAUGAAGCUGUUAUCCAAUCUGUUGUCGAACGUGUAUUGUGAGAGCUUCCUUAAAGGGUCUAUAUUAAUGUGUAAGUAUCAUUUAUAUGUAAACAUUGUUGUAUACGUAUCCUUGUCUGUAUAUCUAUUUUUGUUCAGCAAAUGAAAGAAAGUGAAAAAAAAAAGUUUUACGAAAGUAAGAAUAUUGCCUUAUUUCAUCGUUUCGUUUUCCAUUCGACACUCCAUUCCUAUUUUCCCUAUUCCGUACAUUUUUAUAUCAACAGAAAAAGAAAGAUGUGGUGUAACUCGCAUUGCGUAAUCUCGUAUUUACAGUUGUACAGUAUUCUGUAUGGGAUCUAUUAUUCUGUUCUUACAGAAACUCUGAACAAUUUUAAUAAUUUUAAAACUAAAAUUAUGAUAUUUAUUGAGAUAAAGUGUGGUUAAGUUGAUGGGUAGGUGAAGCAACUGUUGUGCAGUAGAAACAAAGAAUCUGGUGAGGAUAAGGCUGGUAGCUUGUGAUAGCCUCAUAUAUGAACGUGAGGACAUCGCAUUUGUUGUCUGCUCCAUACAACUGUAGGGGAAUAAUACAUUGUCAGCAGAAACCUGUUUCUUGUUGAUCUAGGGUAUAUACAAGAACAUGACCAAUAAACCUUAUUUAUAGGCAAUAAACCAAAAUGACAGUUAUACGGAAGUUACUGAUAAAAUACAUCAUUGGAACUGAAAACUGAAAUAAUGCUAGUAUAAUUCUUAAAUUGUUCUAUAAAUACUGGUGUGUUCAACAUGUUCCAACUUACCUCCUUGUGAGAUAACUUGGAAAGUUUAAACUUAGGUCACAAAAUUUACUUUUUCUCGGGAAUUUCUCUUAACCUCUGCAUGUUUACUGAGUUCCUUGUACACGUUGCAUAUCUAUAAAAUGUUUCAGUCAUUUGACUGUGGCUAUGCUAGGGCACCGCUUUGACAAGUUUUAGUCGAACAAAUUAACCCUAGGACAUUUUUGAAGCCUAGUACUUAUUCUAUCGGUCGUUUUGCUGAACUGCUAAGUUACAGGGAUGUAAAUACAUCACCACCAGUUGUCAAAUGAUAGUGGGGGACAAACACAGACCCCCACUUCCAUAGAUAGAUAUAUGUCUACAAAAUCCUCUCACAAGACUUCAGUUGACUUGAAGCUAGAGUACAAAACAUUUGCCAAAGGUGCCAUGCAGUAAAACUGAACCCGGAACCAUGUGGUUGAGAAGCAAGAUUCUUGAUUUUUGGGAAAUUGGCCAUAAAGGCCUUACAUAGAGGGGACAAAAAAACAAAACGAAUGAAAAGAUGGAAUGAAGCCACUCAGCUCCACCUCUGAGCAACUUCAUUGAACCUGUUAAUACAUUUUUUAAAAACUUUUUUUGAAAACAAUUUAAUCACCUUUUUUUCAAAAUGUCUAUAUUGUGCUUUUUUAGAAUAUCCACAUACCCUAUGUGCUCUGGCAUUGUGCUGGUGUCUAUAUUCUUUACCCACCACUUGCAGUCCAGAUUUUCCACAUACUCCUGUAAUCUCCACACGUACUCCGUGUCUGUGAAGAAGUAGAGAAAGUUCUUGGGCAGACUCUUUACUUCCAUAUCUACCUUUACUGCUCCAUCCCACAAGUCCACCUCAUCAAACAUUUCUUCAUUAUGCCCAUUAUUACAUUUUUCUUCACAGGGCGGGGGUGGAUAAGUUUGUGGAUCCUGUGUGUUUGUACUUGUUUUUAUGUCAGACAGGGCAUGGGGAGGGUUGGUGUAUGUAGGGAGUGGUUGGGGCAGAGAGGGUGUGGAUAGGAAGCUUAGAUGGGUUGGGGGUCAUCCUUUACCACAUGCAUCUUCCUCCUUUUUCUUCUCUUCUUCCUUGCUAUUUCACAGUUGGUAUUUGUCUUCUCUUCUUCGAUGCUGGUACUCUGUAGUGCUAUAUCUAUUUCCUUUUCAUCCAUACUAACCCUGGAAGCACUCUUCCUAUGGUAAAUGGGCAGAAGAACUACCUCAUUCGUUUUCAGCGAUGUUGCUGAGUGCAGCCUGGCAGUAGCUGCAUCCCGAAACAGCACCUCUACCGUUCCAAAUUUUCUACCUCUGUCGAGGUGGGUAAUUCCCUGCCAGAUUGGUUCGAGCGCCUUUUCCAUUUGAGCUCUUGACAUAACUUCUAUUUUCCCGGCCGCUAUCGAGUGUGUUCUAUAAAUUAUAGUUCUCUCAUUCUUCUCCUCUAACACCUCCUUGGGGGAAAAAAAUUCUCACGCUGUUCCCUUCCUUUUUAAGCAUAUAAUAGAACCUGCUCAAAUCUUCCAGGUUUACUUCUAAUUCUUUAAAAUUCCCCUCUGAUUCACUAUUCAUCUCGUUGAAGUACUCCACCAAUCCCUCCUCAGAUGAAUCACAUUCUGGGGAAGAACACCUCAAAUUCUCCCAACUUCUCGUUCAACGUCCCUCCAUCACAAGAAGAAAAACGUCGCACAGCCAAACAACACGUCUACCUCGUACGAAAUCAACAAACCUAAUGGAUCCUGGGUAAUCAGAAGCAAGCUUUUUACCUCACAGCCACACUUGCAAACAUGAAAAUAAAUAUUUCUACCAAAAUAAAUAAUUUUUAAAAAAAAUAAUAUACUUUGGUGUUACACCUUAAUACACGCAACUGUUUCUCUUAUUUUUCUUUGUACAUUUUUGUUGUUUACUAUCUAUUAAUUCAACUAUUUAAAUUUACUGUUGUGUCUGAGGAGAAUCAUUUUCUUUUUGUGCCUUAUAAUUUAACACACUCACCGGUAAAAUUUCUACUUAUAUCCUUCUUUAUUUUUCUAAAAUUUCCGUUGCGUCUUGCAACCUAUUCACACUGCGUUCCUUUUUGUUUGUGCGCAUGGUGUGUGUAUGCAUGUAUUUAUGUAUGUAUGUGUGUACAUUUGUAUGUAUGUAUUUUGCAUAUUCAUGUGUUUGUGUGUGUGUACCUCUAUCUCCUUGUGUAUGCAUAUCUGAGUGUGUUUUGCAACUAUGUGCCGUGUUUGUAUGUAUGAAUGUGUAUCUCCAUAUGUGUGGACGUGAGCCUCCAUAUGUGUCCUUGUGUGAAGUACAGUGUGUGUAUAUAUGGUCAUUUAAAUUUAUUUUCUCUCCUAAAGUAUCAGUUAAUAUCCAAGAUUAAUUUCUUUCUCUCCAUCAGCUAUGCUAUUAGAAGAGGCAUGGAUGGGGCACACACAGCAUCCCUUUCUCAAGAAAUGGAGAGUGUUGAGUGAACAAGGAUAACAACCACUUUUCAUAGAAGAGCUGGUAUCAUACUGGAACAAUCCAAGGACAGGCAGAUGUACAGUUUGGCUCCAAACAUAUACCAUAAAUCCUUGAGUAUAGUCUGUCCUUGAGUAUAAAACGUGGGGGAUUUUUAAUGGGCUGUACUUCCGAAAAACCUAAACCUUAUGUAUAAUACACACCUCUUCUCUAACUUGAGUCGUGUGUAAUUAAGCCAGCAACACCUAAUCGAACAAACACUUCUGCGCAUGUGUAAUACAAAAAUGGUGAUGUUCUUAACUGUUAUAUGGGAAUGUAAAUAUGUUUGCAAAUUGUUUUUGUUACAUGUUAUUCUGUGUUCUGAAUACUUUUAUUUUAAUAAAUGUUGCUUACUGCAAGUUAUGGAUGAUUCUUUUAUGACUUCAUUGCUUUCAGGCUUAGCUUAAGGUAUUUUCGCACCUGACAUCACAAAAUGCGUCUGAAUAAAUGUUGCCAGACAGCAAAUAGAGACUCGGACAUUGCUUAGAAACUAUUUUUUCAUUUUUAACCUCGUAUAUAGUAUGCACUAGGGAUUUCGACCUUUAAAUUUUGGGAAAAAAAUGCGGAUUAUACUCGAGGAUUUACAGUAGAUAAAAUAUUUGUAUAUGAGUGUGUGUCAGUCUGUGUUUCAAAAGUACCAAAAUAAUAUACCUCCAAUCAAAUCACAUCCACCAGAUGAAUAAUCUAUUCACAAUGAUAGAGAAAGUUAUGAAAAAAUAGUUAUAUUUAUCUAAUAGAAGACUUAUAUUGCUUCAGCUUACUUAUUCCUCUGUUGAAUCUUUGCUUUUAACGUAAUUUUUAUCAUAUACUGUUUCUCUAUUAUUUCAGAAUACUGGGUGAUACUGGAUUGACAGAAUUUUACUUCAGAUGUAUCAUCAAACUAAAUGAAGUUGUAAAGAGCUGUUAUAACAUUUAAAUGUAAAUCUUAGGCUGAAUUACUAGGAAAUAUUUUCCCCGGGUGAGAUUAUUAGCAAAAUGUCUCAUUAUUUGGAAUGUGUAUAAAAUUAUUUUGCCUACAAA
rnacentral:lncRNA from 1 species